rnacentral:rRNA from 2 species
UUGACCUCGGAUCAGGUAGGGAUACCCGCUGAACUUAAGCAUAUCAAUAAGCGGAGGAAAAGAAACCAACAGGGAUUGCCUCAGUAACGGCGAGUGAAGCGGCAACAGCUCAAAUUGAAA